rnacentral:tRNA from 1 species
GUUUUUAUAGUUGAAUACAACAGCAGUUUUUCAGACUGCAGGUCUAGGUUAAAAUCCUUGUAGGAAUC